GAGAGUUAAAUAGUACGUGAAAUUGUUGAAAGGGAAACGAUUGAAGUCAGUCAUGCUAGUGAAAAUUCAGUUUGGUGGGUUUUGGGUUCAGGAGUUGAGGCAGGGUCAAACCGUUUCUCUUUUGAACUUGGAAUUUGUCAGAUGCACUUUUUCUUUGGCAGGUCAGCGUCGAUUUCGGAGGUUGUAAAAUACUCGGGGAAAAGUAGCUCUGCUUCGGGAGAGUGUUAUAGACCUUGGGUGAUGCGGCCUGCGGGAUCGAGGAUUGCAGCAAAUGCUUUUGGCUUGUCGCCUGAUCUCUGGACGUCAUCUCGCUUGUAUCAACAUUCUUGGUACCGGUGAGUAAUGGUGCUCAUAGGUUAGAGCGAUCAAAAAUUUUGCUAAGGAUGCUGACGUAAUGGCUUUAAACGA
rnacentral:rRNA from 1 species